GGGCCUACGGGAGGCAGCAGUGAGGAAUUUUGCGCAAUGGGGGAAACCCUGACGCAGCAACCCCGCUUGAGUGAUGAAGGCUUUCGGGUCGUAAAGCUCUGUUGUGUGGGAAGAACAACCAGAAUCCAUUAAUAUCUGGGUCUGACGGUACCACUGAAGAAAGCACCGGCUAGCUCCGUG
rnacentral:rRNA from 1 species